GUUAUUUGCACAUGCAUUUACACCACAAAGCAUAGCCUGGAUUUUGGAUCUGCUUUAUACACAAUGCAAACCUUUGCAGACCUCCAGUGACAACACCACAGCCCUCCAGGGUCCACAGACCACAGGUUGAGAACCACUGGAUUAAGGCAAGGACAUCUCAAGAAAUUUAAAGAAUGAUCAUAAUAGUGGAAUCAGAUGAGAGUUCAGAUGAUUUAGCACAGACCAUGGGACAACAGCAUCUGUGGAGAGGUUAAAACUAGCAAGAUGGUAGACGGAACAUUGCUAUGCAAACUCUGCUUCUUUUGAACAUGAGUACAACAUCAACACAUUUACCAAAGGAAGAGGGUUGAAUCACAACUCUCUUCCUAAUUUUGACACGCACAUUCUAUUCCACUGCCAUGGUGGCUAUGAAUGCAAUUUCCAAAUGAAAGCAAGAUGUUAUACAAUUUCUUUCCUAUUAGAAGUGUGUUAAAAGAGGUUCUGAAAAAUGUUAGAUUUCAGUUACAAGGAAAUGGAUUUCAGAUAAACAUUGGGAAGAAACUCUUGAAUAUAAUGAUUGGAUUCACAUAUGCUAGCCUAUAUUGAGAUUUGUUAACAUAUUGUAUGAACUCAGCCAAUUGUACUUUAUUCAGUAAACCUUGAUUAAAUGAGCUGUAGCUUAAUGAUAUAUGAUAUACAGCAAUAGUCAAUAGAUUUGAUCCAAGUUAAAUGAUGGUUUGAUGAAAUGAAUAUUUUAUUGUUCAAUCAUUUAGUUGCUUCUAACAUUCUCUGUUAUGUGAGGGACAGAAUUGUACCAGGAUUGUCUGUCCAUAUAAAUUUAAUUCUUAUAAAUUCAUGUACAUGCCAUUGUCUUCUAUUAGCUUUUUUCUAAUUGCUUUGGAUUUUUCCAAGCAUCUGGCUUCUUUAAAUUAUUUGUAUUUGCAUUAUGUCUAAUGUACUUAAGCUUUGGUGUAUGUGUGUCUUUAAAUUGAUGUUGCCUCCUGACCACUGCCUGGACUAGUUCCUGAAGUUUCCUUGGCAAAUUUUUCAAAAGUAGUUGCCAUUGCUUUCUUGCUAGAGUUGAGCUAGAAUGAUUAUCCUGUAGUCACCCAGCUGGCUUUGUGCAUAAGGUAGGACUAGAAUUCACAGUCUCCCUGUUGCUAGUCUGAUGCUACACCAGAUUGACUCCAUUUAAGCUUGUCUUUAUUCUUAGUACUUAGUACUUCUACUGUCUUUGAGGCAUACAAAUGAAGAUGCUGGUUAAAAAAAAAAUCUCUGACUGUAUACUCUGCCUGUAGAGUAUAUUUAGAAGAAGUUCUCUUGCAAAUCUUAACAGGAGAUGCAAUUUCUUAGAUAGUUCCAUAUUAAAGUGAAAACCCAUGAAUGAUGAUAUUUUUAUAAGAGCUGUGCAUGCUUCUAAAGUGUCUCAGACUAAGCACUUUGGACCCCAGUGCAAGUGCAGGAUCUUUCUGCUGCUCAUUAAAGUAAUUUUAUAUUUUUCAGGCUUUUGCACAAGCUAAGAAAAAAAGUUGCCACUGCUUUAAAGUUGCAUAGAAUGUAAAGCUCACAUUUAGUCUGUGAAUAGAGAGCCUGGUAUAGCAGUGAAUUUAUACUCCCCAAAUCUGGAUCUUCUGUGAUUUAGAUUUUUGUUUAGGAAGUGAAUAUCUGCUUCCUAGUCUUUCAUCUGAUUUGAUAUCUGCUUUGGUUUUUACUUCAUUUGAACUCCUGCCCAUUGACAACUGUCUCUGCCAUGGGGCUCGUUCUUGAUUACCACACAUCAUUCAUUUAUCUCUCCUGACUUUCUUCUGAAAGUCACAUUCCUGCCAAAAGCCUCUAAACAGGAAACACCACAUCUCAAAUUCAAGUAUUAUUCAGAUUUCUGGGGACAUGAAAAGAGAGAAGCCAAGCGUCAAAUCAAAAGUGAAGAAGCCAGAAUCUAGUUGAUUAUUGGCAACCUCAGACAGUGGGUGACAAGAAUAACUUAUCUAAACUCCAGGCCAUGAAAAACAACAUGUUCCCUCACUUGUGUUUCUCUUUUGUCUCUUUCUCUUUUUAGAAACGUUCCCAGAGAUCUCAGUGGAUGCAGUUCAGCUCAUUUGAUAGUUAAUUCUGAAAACCAGCUAGCACUGAGAUAUAAAGUAAUGAAAGCAAAAAAUCAAUGUGCAAACUAUUGAUCCUGUCAGAGCUCUUUAGAGGUAAUUACAGCAUAACACUGGCUCCUGACAGCGCACCACAAAAACAUAAUAAGGUCACUGGGCUAUAAUAAAGUGCAGUCUUUGGCUCAUAUAUUCCUUGGCUGUUUUUAAGCUGACCCACAACAUCUUCAGUUUAUAGAAACCAUAAUGCUCUUCCUUUAAAUAUAAAAUAAAAUGCAGGAAUGGACUUCACUUAGACUAUUAAAAAGGUUUAAAUAGAGCAAUGGAGGAAAUGGCUAUACCACCACAAUUUCAGAUUCUUCCAUGAGAACGUAGUUGUCAUGUGCAUUUUCCAUGCUAUUUUGUGUCACUGAGCACCAUCAAAAAUGAGAAACCUUUUGAGCACCAUAGAGGGAAGCAGUGUUUGGACUCAUUGAUAUAUAGGACUGUAUUUCAAGCAAGAUAUAUGCAACUAUCAGGGCUUUUUUUUCUCAUAGAACGCCCAGAAUGGAGUUCCAGCACCUUUUUUGGAUGGAACCUUAUAGAGUAGGCAAGGCAAGUUGUAUGACAUGUGUGAGUUCCGGCCCUUUUUUUUUUUUUUUUAGAAAAAAAGCACUGGCAACAAUUAAAUAUGAAUGUAGACAACCAUGUUCUAAAUGACCAUAAUUAUUACAUUAGAGUUGGAUUGUUUAAAGCAACAACCGUCAAGAGUUAUAUAAUGAAUAAAUGAUCAUAUGUAGCCCGGGCACUUAUACCAGUGAUAUCAUUAUAUUGGAUGAUAUCUGCAUGCUGAAUAGCUUCUUUAUUUCAUUGACCAGGUUUUCAGCUGACAUAAAGAAGAGGAAAAGGGGCAAAAGGAAAUCCUAUUUCACAUAUAGAAGUACAGUAUGCUUAUAUAACACUGCAUGUUGCUCAUUGUAAAAGAUUGUUGAAGGAUGUUAUGUAAGAGCAAUAAGUUCAAAUGGCACAUUAUAAGGUAGUGAAAUCUAUCCUUCACAUUCACUUAAUUAUUCUUUCCCCAGAGGAAGAAGUCUUCAGUUCGUUCCUCUCAUUUUCAGAACACUCCAGAAUUGAUUUUGCUGGGGGUUUUGAGCUUACAAUAUUGUUAAGGAUGCUGGUGUCUGGUUUUCUGUUACACACCUCUCCAUCACGUGGGGGGGGGAGUCAAAUGUUAUAAAAGGCUGAAAUGAAUCCACUUGCCAAUUAAAAUAGGCUGUUUGGUUUCCAUAACCUCAGGAUUUCCAAAUGUUUAAUUCGCUUUCCAUAUUUAGAAAUGGCAAGAAAGACAGAUUUAAUGCUCCUUGUCUAAUUAAAGUUCCCCAAUCUCCUUCCAAGCCGUUCCUCUGGCAACUCAAAUCAUACACGACACAAUGACAGGAUAGCAGCUUGUGUCAGAGGGUGGAAGAUGAAUAUUGGUUUUUGUACUAAAAAAAAUGAAAUGUGCUUAAUAAAACAGUUUUGUUUUUUUGUACAGUGGGCUUAUGAGUGUGUAUCUAUAUAUAAUGUUUCAUUUUGAGGAAUUCUCACAAAACUCCUGACAAAUUAAUUGUAAUUAAAAUGUAACACUGUAAUUGUUGCAUUACACUAUUACAUAAAAUAUAAUGAUGACACUAUUACAUAAUGUCACAUAAUUUAAAUGUCUAUCCAUAUUGAAAGUUGUGUUCCUUUGUCACUUAAUAAUUUAAGACAGUUUUUUAAAGUUCACUUGAUCUUUUAAAUCUUUUUUUAACAUUAUAGCAUAUUCAUUUAAUUUAUCUUUCUGUUCAGAACUUGAUGAGUUAGAAUUUUCAGCACUACAUAUUUUGUUAUUAUGUAUAAAAGAAUUCUAGAUAAUUACUUGUGUAUAUCUCAUUUAGCAGAAAUACCAAUAGAAAUAUUUUAAUAAUACCAAUCCAGUUAUCUUUUGAAAGAAUUCCAUUAAUUUCAUAUUAUGUUAAACUUUAAGGUACGUAACUUUUCUUGUAUUAAUUUAUGAUGCAAUCUUUUCAAAGGUAUACCCUGGAUUUGGCAGAACCAUAAUAAUAGACAUUGAGGGAUGCACAUUGAAAUGUUAGUAUGGAAAAGAAUAGAAAGAUAUGAGGGGAUCCUGUUAAUUAGCUAUGUAUCUUGCUAAGGUAAAAACAAAAACUGGAUCAUAAGAGAAUAUCUAUUUUUAAAAGUUGUAGUUUCUAAAUUUUGAAACAAAUUAUUUAAUAUUUAAAAUACAGCAUGACUUGUUAAUAUGAACUGAACUGAAAAUUAAAACACUAAGGAUAAACAUCAGUUGCUUUUUAAGAAAUACAUUUAAUAAUAUUCAGUUUCUAGCUGAUUUGAGAAAGUGUUAUUUAAACAACAAUAAUAGCAGCAAUUCAUUUCCUGUCUUUCUGCUUAGAAGGUAUUCCAGAUGACUUCAGAUAAGCAAAGUAUCAUCAUGUAAUUCCAUGUAAUUGAACCGCCCUAUUUAUGUUUCCUGGACUGGAUCCAGACAGGUAUUUGUUAUAGUUUAAUCUGCUGAUUAACAGAAUUUAUAUAGAGGAACUAUAGAGAUUGCAUACACUGUGCUUAUACAAAAUAAAAUGCCCCACAAAUAGCACAAGAAAACUGCAAUAAAAUAUAUAAAAGGCAUUAUCCCAUGAUAAUAUGGAUACUUAAUCAUUCAAAAUACUAAAUACUUGAGAGGGAAAGAUUAUCUUACUUUGGCACUGAGAGCAAGAUAAGUGCAAGGAAAGGGGAGAACAUUUUAGAAGUCAGAUACCAUAACUGAGAAAGUAGCAGCGGGCCAAACUGAUUUCAAAAAGCUAAGUAGAGUUGACACCACCAUCAGGAAAUACAUGACGGUAAUUCAGACAGAAUUUAAACAAAGAAUAAUCCUAGUGGCAAGACAGUGGCAAAUCACUUCUAUGCUGCUGCCAAGAAAACUACAAAGAAGUCAGCAAUCCAGUUUGACUUUAAGGAGAUAUAAUUUAUGUUCUUUAUCUUACUUCCUGCUAAGGUCAAAAGGAUUCUAGUAAUGGCUAACCUUUAUAUAGCUUACAUAAAAUUAAUUUUGCAGUCACUUUUACCAGACUGCACUAUGAAGAUUGAAGGUUGAAGGGUGGGAUAUACAAAUUAAUAACAGUUAAUAUAAAGUACACUUGAACUAGAAGUAGGUUUUUCUGUUGCUUGCUUUACUGAAAUUUCAGAAAGAAUUUGCUCUGGUGAGUUUGCAAAAAUUCCAACAUACUGUCUACUGGCAGUCCAAAGGAACCAAGUUACAUUGCAAGAAUAUAGACAUGCUUAAUCAAUUGAUAAUAAUAACCCAGCAUACUACACCUUGUAUAGUAGAUUUUUAAAAAAAGAAUAGUAAGCCAUACCAAUGUUGAUCAGUUCACAUUUUUAUUUUACUUCAGAUAUCAUAAAAACUAGAAU